rnacentral:rRNA from 1 species
AACGAACGCUGGCGGCAGGCUUAACACAUGCAAGUCGAACGCAUCCUUCGGGGUGAGUGGCAGACGGGUGAGUAACGCGUGGGAACGUGCCCUUCAGUUCGGGAUAACCCAGGGAAACUUGGGCUAAUACCGGAUACGUGCGAGAGCAGAAAGAUUUAUCGCUGAAGGAUCGGCCCGCGUCUGAUUAGCUAGUUGGUGGGGUAAUGGCCCACCAAGGCGACGAUCAGUAGCUGGUCUGAGAGGAUGAUCAGCCACAUUGGGACUGAGACACGGCCCAAAGUCCUACGGGAGGCAGCAGUGGGGAAUAUUGGACAAUGGGCGCAAGCCUGAUCCAGCCAUGCCGCGUGAGUGAUGAAGGCCUUGGGGUUGUAAAGCUCUUUCGUCCGGGACGAUAAUGACGGUACCGGAAGAAGAAGCCCCGGCUAACUUCGUGCCAGCCGCCGCGGUAA